UUUAAGGUCUAACCUGCCCAAUGAGGAUUUAAAUGGCCGCAGUAUUUUGACUGUGCAAAGGUAGCAUAAUUAUUAGUUUUUUAAUUGAAAGCUUGUAUGAAGGGUUGGACGAGAUAAAAUCUGUCUUUAUUUAAAUUAAAGUAUAAUUUAACUUUUAAGUCAAAAGGCUUAAAUGUUUAUAAAAGACGAGAAGACCCUAUAGAUCUUUAUUUAGUUAAGAUUUUAAUAAUUUAGGAUUAUUUUAAUUUGGAGUCUUAAUUGAAUUUUAUUGGGGUAAUAUAAAGAUUAAAUGAAUUCUUUUUAUUUAUGACAUUAAUUUAUGAAUAUAUGAUCCAUUAAUGUUGAUUAUAAGAUUAAGUUACCUUAGGGAUAACAGCGUAAUUUUUUUGGAGAGCUCAUAUCGAUAAGAAAGUUUGCGACCUCGAUGUUGGAUUAAAAAUUAGCUUGGGUGCAGAAGCUCAAGAUUUUGGUCUGUUCGACCAUUAAAUUUUUACAUGAUCUGAGUUCAGACCGGCGUAAGCCAGGUCGGUUUCUAUCUUUAUUCAGAUAAAAUAUUUUAGUACGAAAGGACCAAGUAUUUAAUAUAAUUAUAUUUAUUUUUUGAAGAAUAUU
rnacentral:rRNA from 1 species